GAUGAACGCUGGCGGCGUGCCUAAUACAUGCAAGUCGAGCGAACAGACGAUGAGCUUGCUCCUCUGACGUUAGCGGCGGACGUGUGAGUAACACGUGUAUAACCUACCUAUAAUACUGGGAUAACUUCGGGAAACCGGAGCUAAUACCGGAUAAUAUAUUGAACCGCAUGGUUCAAUAGUGAAAGACGGUUUUGCUGUCACUUAUAGAUGGAUCCCCGCCGCAUUAGCGAGUUGGUAAGUUAACGGCUUACCAAGGCGACCAUGCGUAGCCGACCUGAGAGGGUGAUCGGCCACACUGGAGCUGAGACACGGUCAAGACUACUACGGGAGGCAGCAGUAGGGAAUCUUCCGCAAUGGGCGAAAGCAUGACGGAGCAACGCCGAGUGAGUGAUGAAGGUCUUCGGAUCGUAAAACUCUGUUAUUAGGGAAGAACAAAUGUGUAAGUAAAUAUGCACGUAUUGACGGUACCUAAUCAGAAAGCCACGGCUAACUACGUG
rnacentral:rRNA from 1 species